rnacentral:rRNA from 1 species
AUUGAACGCUGGCGGCAGGCCUAACACAUGCAAGUCGAACGAGUGGCGGACGGGUGAGUAAUGUCUGGGAAACUGCCCGCUGGAGGGGGAUAACUACUGGACACGGUAGCUAAUACCGCAUACCAUCGGAUGUGCCCAGAUGGGAUUAGCUAGUAGGUGGGGUAACGGCUCACCUAGGCGACGAUCCCUAGCUGGUCUGAGAGGAUGACAAGCCACACUGGAACUGAGACACGGUCCAGACUCCUACGGGAGGCAGCAGUGGGGAAAAGUGCACAAGGGGCGCAAGCCUGAUACAGCCAUGCCGCGUGUAUGAAGAAGGCCUGGGGGUUGUAAAGUACUUUCAGCGAGGAGGCGUUACUCGCAGAAGAAGCACCGGCUAACUCCGUGCCAGCAGCCGCGGUAAUAC